GAAGGAAGCAAGGGCAUAUAGUGGAUGCCUUGGCACUAAGAGCCGAUGAAGGACG
rnacentral:rRNA from 2 species